rnacentral:lncRNA from 1 species
GGCUGGACAGGUCAGCACUGGGAUCCAGAGACCCAACGGCCUUGUAAGUAAUCUCAUAAAGUGUAAUGAUGCCAUUUGUCUCAUUUGGAGGCUUCCACUGAACAUAGAUCUUCUCUUCAAAAGGUCCUCCCUGGAUGGAUUCCAAGGGAACAGGUCCAGGAACAUCCUCCUCAGUCUGCACAACUAGCUCCUCACUCUCCAUUUUG